rnacentral:lncRNA from 1 species
AUUAACCCACACGAGAACACCAGCCAUCUAAGAAUUAAGAAGAGCAGCUAACAAUCUCCUAAUGAUAUCGAAUUCAAAUGAUGACGUCGAGGGGCGACGAAGGCGGCGCGGUGGAGGCCGCGGCGGCGCUGGCGUCUAGUUGCCCUUGGCGAUGAGCUCAUGGGCGGCCGCGACGGUGGGCAGCGCCGGGAUGGCGCCCUUCUGGGUGGUGCAGAUGGCGCCGCAGGCGUUGGAGAACUUGAGCGCCUCGCGGAGCUUCUCCUCGUUCUGAAAGGAAGGAUUAACACCAACGACAUGAUUAGUAAAGACACUUGAUUAAACAGAGAGAUGCUACUAAUCUUGUUACGCAGAUCAAUCGAUGAGGAAUCAUACGUGGAAGAUGGAGUCGUCCUUGGCGACGUUGACGAGGAGAGAGCCGACGAAGGCAUCACCGGCGCCGGUGGUGUCAAUGGUGUUCACCUUGUAGCCGGGAACGCUGCCCUUGAAGUCCUGCAAUGAGACACAGCGACCAUGUUAAUUUCUUGCAAGAAUUAACCUUCGUACCAAAUUGGACGACAGUGCAAGUUAAAAACACACACAAAAAAAAUCGAACCUUGGUGAAGUAUCUGCACCCCUUGUCGCCGUCGGUGACGAUGAGGAGCUUGAGGCCAUCGAACCAGAGCGAGAGCACGUUCUUCUCGUCGUUGGCAUCACCCUGUGUGAGGAAGGCGACCUCAUCAUCGCUGACCUUGAUGAAAUCAGCCUCCUUCCAGAUGCUGAGGAUGCCGGCUCUUGCGGCCUCCUCGGACGGCCAGAGCGGGAGGCGGACGUUGGGGUCGUAGGAGCAGAGGAUGCCGGCGGCCUUGGCGGCGCGCAUGGCGGCCAUGUGCGCGGAGCGGCACGGCUCGGAGAUGAGCGAGAUGGAGCCGUAGUGGAAGAUCUUGGCGCGGCGGAUGAGGUCCAGGUUGAGCUCGGCCUCGGUGAGCAGCAUGUCGGCGCUGGGGUUGCGGUAGAACAUGAACUCGCGCUCGCCGUUCUUCUUGAGGGUAACGAAGGCCAGCGCCGUGCGCGCGUGCUGGUCGAACAGGCAGCCCUCCGAGUUGACGCCGUUCUGCUUCAGGAUGUUCACCAGCAUGUGCCCGAACUCGUCGUCGCCGAACUGCAGCCAUGGAACAGAGCAGGGGAUCAGCAAAUGCAGCUUCAGGUUGAGUUCAAAUGAUUUUUUUUUGUUAAACUGGGAUACUAAUUAGUUGCCUUUCUUAAUUGCAGACGGCAUGUCCAUAUCGGAGCAGUUGUAUACACAGUAGUAAUGCUUAAUCUUAAAGCAAUUAACAAAUGAAACGAAUGAGAAGAUGGUUUUGCAGUGCUUAAACAAUUGCAGAUUGAGUAAGAAAAAGCAUCAUGUGACGGUGAGGGCUAACUAAUGGAACGUUGUUGCUAUAUGGCAGGCUGGGUGUUCUUGGAUGAUCCAGACGGCAAGGCGACCCCAACCGCCACUAACCGACGGGUCGGUGUCAGAUCCGAGUCAGCCGGGCCCCGCGGGGCACUGAAACACAUCGUAACCCCAGAGGUCAAUAACGUAACAAGAUUUGUACAAUAAAAAUAACGUAACCGGGCGUGACCCCAAAGGCCAGAGCACAGGUUGCGACCCCUACGCCACACAGGUAGCUGAGGUGAGCUCAGUGAGGCCCAAAACCACUUUCAACGGCGCGCAGCAAACACGUGAUGGGCCCCACGUGCCGCUACAGAAAAUCUUACCACUAGAUUACCUUUUUGCAAAUUGUUAGCAUAUAAUUCCAACAUAUAAAAAUGCCACUAGCACCAACCAAAUUGAUGGACGCUACAAUUCAAUUGCUAGCACUACUAUUUUUUCUUGUUUUCCUUAAAAAGGAGGACAAAACAAAACACAUGGUAUAAUACGUCAAAAAUUUGAAUAAUGUACAGCAGUAAAGUAAAGCGAGCCGGCGGAAGUAAGCGGCGGAAAAUAGCAAAAGGGCGUGAGGUCACGCGGCGACAAGAACAAACAAGUCGCUUGUCGCGCGCCACCCGCUCCAUGGAAAGCAAAACAAAACACAGACCCCUCCAAGACCCCAGCUGCAGCUGCACUAUAGUGGCGUCCGUCAAAUGAUGCGCAGGCAGCUGCAAAGAUUUUCCUAACCACAAAUAGGAUGGACAAGAAUAAUCAUGCGCUUCAAAGUGGCAUCACAUCGUGUCAUCCAUCACCAGAAGGAAAAAAAAAACGUACUACAACGAUCGUGACGCAUCUGCAAGCAAUUGCCAGUCAACGCCCGCCCCGCCCCGGCACACGGCGAUCAGUCCAGGACGCACUGCCGCGGCGGUCGCCGGAUCUCGCGGAUCCAGAUCCCGCUCCCCGCGCGGAUCGUGAGAUCACCCACCCACCCACCAGAUCAGCCGCAUCUGAGCAAGCUGCUGACCAACCAAACCGAAACCCCGGGCCGCCGGAUCCAGGCGCGAGCACGAGGCCGGCCGGCCGGCCGGCGGAUCCGUACGGACAAUCCGGUGGAAGUAAUGCGAACGAAUUGGCAACAGCAGAUGAUACGGAUGACGGGAAUGAGUAGUAUUGUUACCUUGCCAAGGAAAGCGGAUGCGCCGCCGAGCUUGGAGACGGCGCAAGCGACGUUGGCGGGUGCGCCGCCGGGAGCCUUGACGAACCCUCCCGACUCGGCGAGCGAGAGCCCCGCGACGUCGGGGACGAAGUCGAUGAGCAUCUCGCCGAAGGACACCACGAGGUUCGCCGACGACGCGGCGGCGGCGGCGGCUCCAUCUCCCAGCGGGGCCAUUGAUGGCUGCACGAACGGAACGAACGAAGGCGACGAAACGAGCUGGACGGAGAGAAAGCGAGAGGCUUGCUGUUUGCUUGUUGUGGAGGACGG